UACGUAGGUGGCAAGCGUUGUCCGGAUUUACUGGGCGUAAAGAGCGCGCAGGCGGUCGUUCAAGUCGCGUGUGAAAGCCCCCCGGCUCAACUGGGGAGGGUCACGCGAUACUGAUCGACUCGAAGGCAGGAGAGGGUAGUGGAAUUCCCGGUGUAGUGGUGAAAUUCGUAGAUAUUCGGAAGAACACCAGUGGCGAAGGCGGCUCACUGGACCAGUAUUGACGCUGAGGUGCGAAAGCGUGGGGAGCAAACAGG
rnacentral:rRNA from 1 species